rnacentral:rRNA from 1 species
UACGUAGGUGGCGAGCGUUACUCGGAUUUACUAGGCGUAAAGCGCGUGUAGGCGGGAGCUUAAGUCUGUCGUUAAAUCCCGGGGCUCAACCCCGGGCUAUUGAUAGAUACUGGGUUUCUUGAGUGAGGUAGGGGAAACUGGAAUUCCAGGUGUAGCGGUGAAAUGCGUAGAUAUCUGGAAGAACGCCAAAGGCGAAGGCAGGUUUCUGGGCCUUUACUGACGCUGAGACGCGAAAGCUAGGGGAGCAAACAGGAUUAGAUACCCUGGUAGUCCUAGCCGUAAACGAUGUAGACCAGGUGUGGGGGGUAUCGACCCCUCCCGCGCCGACGCUAACGCAUUAAGUCUACCGCCUGGGGAGUACGACCGCAAGGUUAAA